rnacentral:lncRNA from 1 species
UGGGGCAGAGACUCAUAAGCACAUUAAUAUUUUCCCUUACAGAGCACCUUUUACCUGAAGAGCUCAAAUUAUGCCAUUGCCAGGAUGCAUUCAUUGUGCUUCACAACACUCCUGAGACACAGGAGAAGUGAACCGAGGCCCAGAGAGGUUGAAGGGUCUGCCUAAAGCCACACAGUAGUAAAUGACAGGACUGGAACUGGAGUCCAAAUACGGCAGAAGGGGAGACAACAGAAAGGGAGAGAUUAAAGAUGUCCAAAAAAGAGACGAGAGAAAAGAUGCAGAGAUUAGACUCUGGAAUUCCCCAGUUCCAGUUGAUAUGUCUUGUCUUGCAAUGUUAGACCUGAAUGAAGAAGAACUUCUGUGA